rnacentral:rRNA from 1 species
CAGUAGCCGCGGGAAUACGGAGGGUGCAAGCGUUAAUCGGAAUUACUGGGCGUAAAGCGCACGCAGGCGGUCUGUCAAGUCGGAUGUGAAAUCCCCGGGCUCAACCUGGGAACUGCAUUCGAAACUGGCAGGCUAGAGUCUUGUAGAGGGGGGUAGAAUUCCAGGUGUAGCGGUGAAAUGCGUAGAGAUCUGGAGGAAUACCGGUGGCGAAGGCGGCCCCCUGGACAAAGACUGACGCUCAGGUGCGAAAGCGUGGGGAGCAAACAGGAUUAGAUACCCCGGUAGUCCCUGUCUCUUAUAC